rnacentral:rRNA from 1 species
UACGUAGGGUGCAAGCGUUGUCCGGAAUUACUGGCGUAAAGCGUGCGCAGGCGGCUUUGCAAGACAGAUGUGAAAUCCCCGGGCUACAACCUGGGAACUGCAUUUGUGACUGCAUGGCUAGAGUACGGUAGAGGGGGAUGGAAUUCCGCGUGUAGCAGUGAAAUGCGUAGAUAUGCGGAGGAACACCGAUGGCGAAGGCAAUCCCCUGGACCUGUACUGACGCUCAUGCACGAAAGCGUGGGGAGCAAACAGG